UACGAAGGGAGCUAGCGUUGUUCGGAAUCACUGGGCGUAAAGCGCACGUAGGCGGAUUUGCCAGUCAGGGGUGAAAUCCCGGGGCUCAACCUCGGAACUGCCUUUGAUACAGCAAGUCUUGAGUUCGAGAGAGGUGGGUGGAAUUCCUAGUGUAGAGGUGAAAUUCGUAGAUAUUAGGAAGAACACCGGUGGCGAAGGCGGCCCACUGGCUCGACACUGACGCUGAGGAGCGAAAGCGUGGGGAGCAAACAGG
rnacentral:rRNA from 1 species